rnacentral:lncRNA from 1 species
UACUGCCGUGAGGUACGAACGACACGUACGUUCCUCCAUGGAUUCUUCCUCGCAUCAGGCGAAUGCCACCACGGCCAGCUUUGGGUACUCGGCCGAGCUCCUCAUCGACGCGACUAAAAUGUACCCAUAUCUGUAUGACAAGCGGCACCCUUCUUUUAAAGAUCGGACAAAGAAGGACCGGGCUUGGGCAGAUCGAAGCAUGUUCGGCAUGUCGAGUGUCCUUGUUGAGAAACGAUUUAAGAACCUGCGUGAUAUCUUCAAAAGGAAACAACACGACAUACGUGAAAAAACGAAGAAGUGGAGCCGGAGCAGCCGACAUUCCAACAAUAAAAUGGCCCCAUUUUGAGGCCAUGCUUGAAUUAAUGGAAGGAGAGUCUGAGCCUGUGGCCAGCCACAUCACAGCAGAAGAGGCUAACGAGAGAUCACCGCCUCGGCCAAGACAUGCAGCGGAACCGAAACGUUCCCCUGAUACGGCUGAGGAGACUUGUGUCGACACCUGCAGCAAUGAGUAAAACCUUUAUGAAUCCACCUAAGUAAUGAUAAAUGAAGGGCAUGCAUAGAUAGCGAAUCUAUUAAAUCUUAAAAGCAUGUUUUGUAACCUUCUUCAUGUUCUAGCACAUUUGGAGAAUGUGCCUAAUGUUUUCACACCAGAUUCUGCUACAUGCAAUUGCAACACUUUAUAAGUUGUAUAAUAAUACUGCCUCCUUCUGCGGUGAUGCUUCAGCAACCACCUCAAGAGAGCAGCCACCAUCAAAACGGUCACGCUCGUCAAGACGACAACGGACCUGCGAGGGCGCUAGCAAUGCAGGAGAGGGCACAAGCCAUGAAGCUGUGGCGCAAGCGUGCAUGGAGCACCUUGAACACAUCAGAGCGAACAAGGGGGUCAUCAAAAAAGAUAACAUUGGUUUCUUCGCUCUACGUACCGAUGCACGCCUCAGAGAGCUACCAGUGCACAUUGCACAAGAUGUAAUGCAUGCAGUAGAACUUAUGCUGUAUGAAGCAGAGGCAAAAUUGCGUCAGAGCAGUGAAGCAAAUUGAAGUGUUUAUAUAUAUAAAGUCAAUGACACCCACCUUUUUUUAUCUUGUGUUCACUUUUCUAGUCCUAACUUAAAGGGGUCAUGACUGGUCACUCAACAAUUGACGGUUGUCAGCAAAAAACAAAACUACAGAGUAAAAUGUGCUAGUACACGUAUGAAAAGGGGCCUUAGGAGAUUAUUUUAGUCAAAAAUAUGCCGUAGAAGUGCUCGGCUCCUAAAACUCAACCUACCACAA